GCCUGGGUGGCUCAGCCGGUUGAGCAUCUGACUUCGGCUCAGGUCAUGAUCUCAUGGUUUGUGGGUUCGAGCUCCACUUUGGGCU
rnacentral:tRNA from 1 species